GCCCGGUUAGCUUAGUUGGUAGAGCAUCAGACUUUUAAUCUGAGGACUAUGGGUUCGAGUCCCAUAUCUGGCU
rnacentral:tRNA from 1 species